GCUGUCACUUCGCCGCCUUGACAGCUCCUGCUCGCAUGUCUGCUCGCUGCCCUGUUCGGCUUUCUUCUGAAGGAAUUGUUUUUAACAAACCUGUCAUGAAAGGCUGGAACAGAACCUCUGUUUUUCCUGAGAUGUCUUAGUGCAACUAAUCCAGACAUGGGGAAGGACUGAAAAACAUUCUGCUGACUGACUACCAUACCCUCCCUCCUUCAUUGCAAUUCGGAAAACAUUCUGUGACCACCACGCAAAUACAAAUGACUAAAACAACCAAA